rnacentral:rRNA from 1 species
AUUGAACGCUGGCGGCAUGCCUUACACAUGCAAGUCGAACGGCAGCACGGGUGCUUGCACCUGGUGGCGAGUGGCGAACGGGUGAGUAAUACAUCGGAACAUGUCCUGUAGUGGGGGAUAGCCCGGCGAAAGCCGGAUUAAUACCGCAUACGAUCUACGGAUGAAAGCGGGGGACCUUCGGGCCUCGCGCUAUAGGGUUGGCCGAUGGCUGAUUAGCUAGUUGGUGGGGUAAAGGCCUACCAAGGCGACGAUCAGUAGCUGGUCUGAGAGGACGACCAGCCACACUGGGACUGAGACACGGCCCAGACUCCUACGGGAGGCAGCAGUGGGGAAUUUUGGACAAUGGGCGAAAGCCUGAUCCAGCAAUGCCGCGUGUGUGAAGAAGGCCUUCGGGUUGUAAAGCACUUUUGUCCGGAAAGAAAUCCUUGGCCCUAAUACGGUCGGGGGAUGACGGUAUCGGAAGAAUAAGCACCGGCUAACUACGUG